AUUGAACGCUGGCGGCAGGCCUAACACAUGCAAGUCGAGCGAGCGGCGGACGGGGGAGUAAUGUGUGGGGAACUGCCCGAUGUAGGGGGAGAAAUACUGGAAAAGGUAGCUAAUACCGCCUAUCAUCAGAUGUGCACAGAUGGGAGUAGCUCGUAGGUGGGGUAACGGCUCACCUGGGCGACGAUCCCUCGCUGGUCCGAGAGGAUGAACAGCCACACUGGAACUGAGUCACGGUCCAGACUCCCACGUGGGGCAUCAGUGGGGAAUAUUGCACAAUGGGCGCAAGCCUGAUGCAGCCAUGCCGCGUGGGUGAAGAAGGCCUUCGGGUUGUAAAGGACUUUCAGCGAGGAGGCGUUACCCGCAGAAGAAGCACCGGCUAACUCCGUGCCAGCAGCCGCGGUAAUAC
rnacentral:rRNA from 1 species